rnacentral:rRNA from 1 species
AUUGAACGCUGGCGGCAGGCUUAACACAUGCAAGUCGAGCGGAUGAGUGGAGCUUGCUCCAUGAUUCAGCGGCGGACGGGUGAGUAAUGCCUAGGAAUCUGCCUGGUAGUGGGGGACAACGUUUCGAAAGGAACGCUAAUACCGCAUACGUCCUACGGGAGAAAGCAGGGGACCUUCGGGCCUUGCGCUAUCAGAUGAGCCUAGGUCGGAUUAGCUAGUUGGUGAGGUAAAGGCUCACCAAGGCGACGAUCCGUAACUGGUCUGAGAGGAUGAUCAGUCACACUGGAACUGAGACACGGUCCAGACUCCUACGGGAGGCAGCAGUGGGGAAUAUUGGACAAUGGGCGAAAGCCUGAUCCAGCCAUGCCGCGUGUGUGAAGAAGGUCUUCGGAUUGUAAAGCACUUUAAGUUGGGAAGAAGGGCAGUAAGUUAAUACCUUGCUGUUUUGACGUUACCGACAGAAUAAGCACCGGCUAACUUCGUGCCAGCCGCCGCAGUAAGAC